rnacentral:rRNA from 1 species
AUUGAACGCUGGCGGAAUGCUUUACACAUGCAAGUCGAGCGGCAGCGCGGGGCAACCUGGCGGCGAGCGGCGAACGGGUGAGUAACACAUCGGAACGUACCCUGUCGUGGGAGAUAACGUAGCGAAAGUUACGCUAAUACCGCAUAUUCUCUCCGGAGGAAAGCAGGGGACCGCAAGGCCUUGCGCUCUUUGAGCGGCCGAUAUCAGAUUAGCUAGUUGGUGGGGUAAAAGCUCACCAAGGCGACGAUCUGUAGCGGGUCUGAGAGGAUGAUCCGCCACACUGGAACUGAGACACGGUCCAGACUCCUACGGGAGGCAGCAGUGGGGAAUUUUGGACAAUGGGGGCAACCCUGAUCCAGCCAUGCCGCGUGAGUGAAGAAGGCCUUCGGGUUGUAAAGCUCUUUCGGCCGGGAAAAAAUCGCAUGGGUUACUACCCUGUGUGGAUGAUGGUACCGGAAUAAGAAGCACCGGCUAACUACGUGCCAGCCGCCGCAGUAACAC